AUAUUCUGCAACCUCAACAAAGCAUACGAUCCUUUCGCCUUUUUCUAAAGAGUCAUGUGUAGAGAUUGCGCCGAAAUCUUGAAUUUGUUUGAGGACAAUUCGUUGUCCA